rfam:Orchesella cincta Ocin01_Sc1628, whole genome shotgun sequence.
GGGUGUUUGGUCUAGAGGUAUGACAGGGGCGCGUUAAGCCUUUGAGGCUGGGUUCGAUUCCCAGCAGCAUUCA